rnacentral:lncRNA from 1 species
UCAUUGUCUUGCACUAGCUGAUGCGAACUUGUGCUUUCAAAUUUCAUCUCACCUAGUUUUCUGUCAUCCUUGACAGAACUUCCCUUCCCUUGGCACCCAUUCUGCAACUCUAAUGGUCCACUGGUUAUCUACCCUAUGCAUUACAUGGCCUGCCCAGCUUCAUUUUUUCCUCUUAAUGUCUACUAGAAUAUCGACUAUCCACACUGCUCUCUUCCUGUCUCAUUGUCAUUUAUCAUUGCAUUGCUCUUUGUACGGCCCUUAACAUGUUCUCGAGAUUCUUCGUUAACCUCCAGGCUUAUGUGCUAUACUGCAUGCUUAGAAGAACAACGUGUCUACCAAGUUGACAUUUUCAAAUUCCCUGAUUUUUUCAGGUUUCACAGAACUUUGUUUUAUGUCAAGAUGGGCUGACACCAUGUCACCUGAUGCUGUCACUCUCUGGAUGACCAGCAAAGCUGCGUACGUGGGCCCCUUAAUGGUGAACUGCACCUCUACCGCGGGUCGGCCUGGUAUUGCACUACCUAUGGGAUUGGCCCAUGUGUGGGGGAGUGCUUAAAGCCUGCUUCAUCUCCGCCGCAGGUUUGACUGGCAUUUCACGACCUUCGGGAUCAGCCCACAUAUGGGGAGUGCUUAAUGCUUGCUUCACUUCUGCCUCGGGUUGGCCUGGUAUUGCACUUUCUUCGGGAUCGGCCCACCGUAUGAAAAAUUGUUGGUCUAUGCGCAAAUGCGAUCUGCCAGAUCCUCACCAUAGACAGCUUCACUGUAAAAAAAGUGGUCUAGCUCACGGCAAAUAGAGUCAAACAUUUUAAAAUGCGAAUAAAAAGAGAUGCAUACAAAAGCAAAUAGCUAUUUGUAUCAACUGAUAGCAAGCUCAUUGGUAUCAUGCCCGAACUUUGUCACAUAUGAGAUUCUCCAAGCAACUGGAAAGUCAACCUCAACUGUCUUGACAUACUCUCAGCCUGCCCAUAAUGCCUCAGUUUUGCAUUUCAUUGCUUUAAGAGAUUUAUUUUGGUUUGGAUGUGGGUAACCUGCAUCUUAGCGUCAGCCAACACUUUGCUUUUUGAGCGCAAGCUCCUUCAAAGAGGCGGCGGCACAGUUCCUUUCCUGAUCAUUCCUCGAUGCAAUGGUCCUUCCUAUUCUUGUCCUUGUUACGCUGCGUGUUCGCCCCAUGGAUGAAGCAUCCUUUUGGUCAGUUGUACAGUCCGAUUUUUCAGACUCCCUAAGGGCCGCUACAA